rnacentral:rRNA from 1 species
GACAGAGGCCUCAAGCGUUAGGCGGAAUCACUGGGCUUAAAGCGUGUGUAGGCGGACUUCUAAGUGCCUUGUGAAAUCCCACGGCUCAACCGUGGAACUGCUGGGCAUACUGGGAGUCUUGGGCCAUUCAGGGGCAACUGGAACAAGCGGUGGAGCGGUGAAAUGCGUAGAUAUGUGGAGGAAUACCGAUGGCGAAGGCAGCCCCCUGGGAUAACACUGACGCUCAUGCACGAAAGCGUGGGGAGCAAACAGG